rnacentral:rRNA from 1 species
GCAAGAUUAAAACUCAAAGGAAUAGACGGGGACCCGCACAAGUGGUGGAGCAUGUGGUUUAAUUCGAAGAUACGCGAAGAACCUUACCUAGCCUUGACAUAUUUUAGAACUCCGUAGAGAUACAGAGGUGCCUUCGGGAGCUAAUUUACAGGUGCUGCACGGCUGUCGUCAGCUCGUGUCGUGAGAUGUUGGGUUAAGUCCCGCAACGAGCGCAACCCUCGUCACUAGUUACUAACGGUUCGGCCGAGGACUCUAGUGAGACUGCCUUCGUAAGGAGGAGGAAGGUGAGGACGACGUCAAGUCAUCAUGGCCCUUACGGCUAGGGCAACACACGUGCUACAAUGGCCAGGACAGUGAGACGCGAUACCGCGAGGUGGAGCAAAUCUAUAAACCUGGUCUCAGUUCGGAUUGUAGUCUGCAACUCGACUACAUGAAGCUGGAAUCACUAGUAAUCGUAGAUCAGCUAUGCUACGGUGAAUACGUUCCCGGGUCUUGUACUCACCGCCCGUCACACCAUGGGAGUUGAUUUCACCCGAAGCGGGGAAGCUAAACUGGCUACCCUCCACGGUGGAAUUAGCGACUGGGGUGAAGUCGUAACAAGGUA